AAUAAAGGUUAAAUAGAGGUUGAAUAGAGGGUAAAUAGAGGUUGAAUAGAGGUUGAAUAGAGGGUAAAUAGAGGGUAAAUAGAGGGUGAAUAGAGGGUGAAUAGAGGGUGAAUAGAGGGUAAAUAGAGGUUGAAUAGAGGGUAAAUAGAGGGUAAAUAGAGGUUGAAUAGAGGGUAAAUAGAGGGUAAAUAGAGGGUAAAUAGAGGGUAAAUAGAGGUUGAAUAGAGGGUAAAUAGAGGGUAAAUAGAGGGUAAAUAGAGGGUAAAUAGAGGGUGAAUAGAGGGUAAAUAGAGGGUGAAUAGAGGUUGAAUAGAGGUUGAAUAGAGGGUAAAUAGAGGGUAAAUAGAGGGUAAAUAGAGGGUAAAUAGAGGUUGAAUAGAGGGUAAAUAGAGGGUAAAUAGAGGGUAAAUAGAGGGUAAAUAGAGGUUGAAUAGAGGGUAAAUAGAGGGUAAAUAGAGGGUGAAUAGAGGGUGAAUAGAGGGUGAAUAGAGGGUGAAUAGAGGUUGAAUAGAGGGUGAAUAGAGGUUGAAUAGAGGGUAAAUAGAGGUUGAAUAGAGGUUGAAUAGAGGGUAAAUAGAGGAUGAAUAAAGGUUGAAUAGAGGGUGAAUAAAGGUUGAAUAGAGGGUGAAUAAAGGUUGAAUAGAGGGUGAAUAAAGGGUAAAUAGAGGUUGAAUAGAGGGUAAAUAAAACGGUGCACUACUUUUGACCAGAUUGAGGGCCAUUUGGAAUACACUGCCUACACUGUAACCUAACUAUUACACUGACCUUUGACCUCUUAAUGCCAACACUGUAUCCUAACUUUAUUACACUGACCUUUGACCUCUUAAUGCCAACACUGUAACCUAAC